CCCCUCCCUCAAACAUGUGACAUAGUUCACAACCGCAAUCGACUUAAGUUUUGCUAGAAAAACAAACCCGUGAGCUACUAACAGCAUGGUUUUUCACUAGCAAUAAAGAAUCAAUAUACCAAAGUUGAUAUUUUGCAAUAAACUUUAGGUUUAAGACAAGAGAGAGCUAUAUAAGGAGAUGAAAAUAAGUUUCUAAAAAAUCCCAUGCUUCUGCUCUUCGAUUCGUCUUUCUGGGAUUCAAUUUCCAUCAAAAAAAAAUCCCUACUAUUUCCAUGAGUUUGCCAUACAAGUUCUUGAAUGCUCCAUGGAUAUAGAGUUAUUUCUUGAAUAACCCGUGGGAGAGACACACUGGCCACUGGAUGUCCAUAUCCAAGUUAAGACAAAUGGUCCUAGUUCCAUGAAAAACGAAGUUAACUAAUUGUGCAGAACACUACAGAAUCCCUCUAAAAGUGUUAAACACUACAGAGGUUACCAUUUUUGACCAGAAUAUAUAGAACUCUCAUAAUAUUCGUAUCCAAAUUCAUUUAUAUAUCUUCUGUAAGGAAUCUACAUCUCAAAAGUGUGUGGCUCUGUGUUUACCUAGCUCAAUACCGUCCCUAUGUCGGCUCAGAAAACUAAAUCGAAAUGAAACUUAUUUCUGAAUGAACCUGCUGUUUGAGGGUUAACUUGGAAUCAAAUCUGAACUCUCAAAUGAUUUGGUGAGUCAAAAUGUGAUGACAAAGGACCCCUAUUUCUCUUCUUUGAAGUCUUUUAUGGCUUUGGGAAAUGAAUCAAGAAUGAAUAGAUGGAUAUGAUGAAAUAGUGGCUUCCACUGAUCCACUGGAUUCCAUUGUUAAUCCACCACGAACGUGAAU
rnacentral:lncRNA from 1 species